AUCCCCUACGGGACGCAGCAGGGAAUAUUGCUCAAUGGGGGAAACCCUGAAGCAGCAACGCCGCGUGGAGGAUGAAGGUUUUAGGAUUGUAAACUCCUUUUGUGAGAGAAGAUAAUGACGGUAUCUCACGAAUAAGCACCGGCUAACUCCGUGCCAGCAGCCGCGGUAAUACGGAGGGUGCAAGCGUUACUCGGAAUCACUGGGCGUAAAGAGUGCGCAGGCGGGCUUGUAAGUCAGAUGUGAAAUCCUGUAGCUUAACUACAGAACUGCAUUUGAAACUAUGAGUCUAGAGUGUGGGAGAGGUG
rnacentral:rRNA from 1 species